GAUCCUGGCUCAGGAUGAACGCUGGCGGCGUGCUUAACACAUGCAAGUCGAGCGAAGCACUUAGGAAAGAUUCUUCGGAUGAUUUUCUAUUUGACUGAGCGGCGGACGGGUGAGUAACGCGUGGGUAACCUGCCUCAUACAGGGGGAUAACAGUUAGAAAUGACUGCUAAUACCGCAUAAGACCACAGCACCGCAUGGUGCAGGGUAGUAAAACGUCGGUGGUAUGAGAGUCGGACCCCG
rnacentral:rRNA from 1 species